UUAAAACAACAAAAUCCAAAAUUUCAUUUAGGGUCCAGAUAUAUCUAGAUUUUUAACCGUGACUGAUUCUAAAUAAUUUCCCUAUCCUAGUCUGCCGAUGUUUUAUAGAUUUCUAUACAGUAGAGUCCCUUUAUAGAAAACCGGGCCUUUCCUAUAUCAAGGAAUUAAGGCCAACGCUCUUUUUUUACCUUUCAUGUUUGUUCGUCUUCCUGGCCUUCGUUUGAGAUUAUGUUACAGUUGUUUACAACCAGGACCUGCUUACAACAAACAGGCAGCCGAAGUCUGUCGAAAUAAAAGCAAAACAAACAAAAAGGCCAAAACGGGAACGUUAAGAUCAUGUUCGUCACGUCUCGCUGAAUUGACAACCAAGGCAUUUCCUCGAAUGCCAUCCAUGGGGAAAGGCCCAAGUUCCUAUCAGCAAGAGCAGAGAAGAGCAAUUCAGAUUUCGUGAAAACCAGACCAAGAAAAACCCAGUGACUUGAUAGCAUCAUCAUUCCGCGAAUAACCACGGGGUUAGGAUUCACGUCACCUCUUUAUAAGCAAAUGUUGAGGGUAUUCGGGCACACAAUCCGUUGGUCGUCGAAGAAGUCGGUCUCCUCGACCCACACAUACAGACGUGUCUUGAUCGCCGUCCUCCAAUAUUGUGGUAGUUGUCAAACAGUGUGACUGUCCGUCUCCUUUGCACUGUGACUGCUAUUUCGCUUGCUCAGUCGUCUUGACCACAUAUUUGCAUCUAUAUAACUACUGCAGUCGUUUGCAUCAUGGUGAUUUUCCAAUAUAGCCCUGAGGAGACGAGAGAGAGGUCUCCCCGGGGGGUCCAGGGCAGAAAUGAAACUAGUGAAUAUCCUGGCGGAAGCCAUCCCAGAGUUUACGACGACUGGCAAGGGAAUUUCAGACAAAGAGGGCGUUCCGGCAAUGCUUCCAGAGCACUUCAAAGCACCGAGAGGACCAACAGUACAUCCAGAGGCGUCGUUCGCUCUGAACUAGUACUAACUGACGAGCACCAAUCUGGCUUGGAUGGUUACGGCAGGCUCGUAGGUUCAUCUGGCGAACCCAGCGGUCACAAUCAUUUCUCAAAUACUAUGGAGAGUUCACACUUUACAACAGGCUCUAAUAACUCGUACAAUCAAUUAGAUUCUGGGUCUUACUUUCACGUAGACAGUGGCCUCGAGAAUUACGGAAAAUAUCUGGGGUCGUCUCCAGAACCUGGUUAUGGUAGGGACUCUAAUCCGGCUGAAUCAUUAAGGAAUCAUGAAAACGCGAGCAGUAGCGGGUAUGAACUAAACGGCGGGUCUCUUUCAGACUUUGCGGGUUUGGGAAGUUAUAGUCAACCUUCCUUCGAGUCAAGCAAUUUUGGCUUCUCAACAGAACAAAACAUGGAGGACGUUGAAUUCACAAACUACGGAGGUUAUGGUGGUGGGCUGUUUUAAAAAGAUUAACUUUUAACAAUAUGUGAAUGCUAUAAGGUUUCGUGAAAAGAACGAUAUUCAAUAUAUAUAUAUUUUUUUACAUGUACUUUGUAGGAAAGUGGGUACAGAGGUCACUGUUGUGGAGGCUGAUAUGAAAUGCUGAUUGAUGAAGAUAACUCCUCCAUCCUCUCUUGUUAUCAAGUUUUAAUUUUAUACCUUACUUAUCACAUCUCAGAUAUAGCUCAUAAGUAACGUGACAUUUA